rnacentral:rRNA from 1 species
AUUGAACGCUGGCGGCAGGCCUAACACAUGCAAGUCGAACGAGUGGCGGACGGGUGAGUAAUGUCUGGGAAACUGCCUGAUGGAGGGGGAUAACUACUGGAAACGGUAGCUAAUACCGCAUACCAUCAGAUGUGCCCAGAUGGGAUUAGCUAGUUGGUGGGGUAACGGCUCACCAAGGCGACGAUCCCUAGCUGGUCUGAGAGGAUGACCGACCACACGGGAACUGGGACACGGUCCAGAGUCCUACUGGAGGCAGCAGUGGGGAAUAUUGAACAAUGGGCGAAAGCCUGAUGCAGCCAUGCCGCGUGUAUGAAGAAGGCCUUCGGUUUGUAAAGUACUUUCAGCGGGGAGGCGUUACCCGCAGAAGAAGCACCGGCUAACUCCGUGCCAGCAGCCGCGGUAAUAC